rnacentral:rRNA from 1 species
UAUUGGACAAUGGGUGAGAGCCUGAUCCAGCCAUCCCGCGUGAAGGACGACGGCCCUAUGGGUUGUAAACUUCUUUUGUAUAGGGAUAAACCUACUCUCGUGAGAGUAGCUGAAGGUACUAUACGAAUAAGCACCGGCUAACUCCGUGCCAGCAGCCGCGGUAAUACGGAGGGUGCAAGCGUUAUCCGGAUUUAUUGGGUUUAAAGGGUCCGUAGGCGGAUCUGUAGGUCAGUGGUGAAAUCUCACAGCUUAACUGUGAAACUGCCAUUGAUACUGCAGGUCUUGAGUGUUGUUGAAGUAGCUGGAAUAAGUAGUGUAGCGGUGAAAUGCAUAGAUAUUACUUAGAACACCAAUUGCGAAGGCAGGUUACUAAGCAACAACUGACGCUGAUGGACGAAAGCGUGGGGAGCGAACAGG